rnacentral:rRNA from 1 species
GGUCAAGUGAAGAAGCGCAUACGGUGGAUGCCUUGGCAGUCAGAGGCGAUGAAAGACGUGGUAGCCUGCGAAAAGCUUCGGGGAGUCGGCAAACAGACUGUGAUCCGGAGAUGUCUGAAUGGGGGAACCCAGCCAUCAUAAGAUGGUUAUCUUACACUGAAUACAUAGGUGUAAGAGGCGAACCAGGGGAACUGAAACAUCUAAGUACCCUGAGGAAAAGAAAUCAACCGAGAUUCCCUUAGUAGUGGCGAGCGAACGGGGACCAGCCCUUAAGUUGUAUUGAGAUUAGCGGAACGCUCUGGAAAGGGCGGCCAUAGCGGGUGAUAGCCCUGUACGCGAAAAUCCCUUUGCAAUGAAAUCGAGUAGGACGGGGCACGAGAAACCUUGUCUGAAUAUGGGGGGACCAUCCUCCAAGGCUAAAUACUACUGACUGACCGAUAGUGAACCAGUACCGUGAGGGAAAGGCGAAAAGAACCGCGGAGAGCGGAGUGAAAUAGAUCCUGAAACCGUAUGCGUACAAGCAGUGGGAGCCCACUUUGUUGGGUGACUGCGUACCUUUUGUAUAAUGGGUCAGCGACUUAUUUUCAGUGGCGAGCUUAACCGAAUAGGGGAGGCGUAGCGAAAGCGAGUCUUAAUAGGGCGUCUAGUCGCUGGGAAUAGACCCGAAACCGGGCGAUCUAUCCAUGGGCAGGUUGAAGGUUGGGUAACACUAACUGGAGGACCGAACCGACUACCGUUGAAAAGUUAGCGGAUGACCUGUGGAUCGGAGUGAAAGGCUAAUCAAGCUCGGAGAUAGCUGGUUCUCCUCGAAAGCUAUUUAGGUAGCGCCUCAUGUAUCACUGUAGGGGGUAGAGCACUGUUUCGGCUAGGGGGUCAUCCCGACUUACCAAACCGAUGCAAACUCCGAAUACCUACAAGUGCCGAGCAUGGGAGACACACGGCGGGUGCUAACGUCCGUCGUGAAAAGGGAAACAACCCAGACCGUCAGCUAAGGUCCCAAAGUCAUGGUUAAGUGGGAAACGAUGUGGGAAGGCUUAGACAGCUAGGAGGUUGGCUUAGAAGCAGCCACCCUUUAAAGAAAGCGUAAUAGCUCACUAGUCGAGUCGGCCUGCGCGGAAGAUGUAACGGGGCUCAAACCAUGCACCGAAGCUACGGGUAUCAUCUUUUGAUGAUGCGGUAGAGGAGCGUUCUGUAAGCCUGUGAAGGUGAGUUGAGAAGCUUGCUGGAGGUAUCAGAAGUGCGAAUGCUGACAUGAGUAACGACAAUGGGUGUGAAAAACACCCACGCCGAAAGACCAAGGUUUCCUGCGCAACGUUAAUCGACGCAGGGUUAGUCGGUCCCUAAGGCGAGGCUGAAAAGCGUAGUCGAUGGAAAACAGGUUAAUAUUCCUGUACUUCUGGUUAUUGCGAUGGAGGGACGGAGAAGGCUAGGCCAGCCUGGCGUUGGUAGUCCAGGUUUAAGGUGGUAGGCUGAGAUCUUAGGUAAAUCCGGGAUCUUAAGGCCGAGAGCUGAUGACGAGUGUUCUUUUAGAACAUGAAGUGGUUGAUGCCAUGCUUCCAAGAAAAGCUUCUAAGCUUCAGGUAACCAGGAACCGUACCCCAAACCGACACAGGUGGUUGGGUAGAGAAUACCAAGGCGCUUGAGAGAACUCGGGUGAAGGAACUAGGCAAAAUGGCACCGUAACUUCGGGAGAAGGUGCGCCGGUGAGGGUGAAGCAUUUACUGCGUAAGCCCACGCCGGUCGAAGAUACCAGGCCGCUGCGACUGUUUAUUAAAAACACAGCACUCUGCAAACACGAAAGUGGACGUAUAGGGUGUGACGCCUGCCCGGUGCCGGAAGGUUAAUUGAUGGGGUUAGCGCAAGCGAAGCUCUUGAUCGAAGCCCCGGUAAACGGCGGCCGUAACUAUAACGGUCCUAAGGUAGCGAAAUUCCUUGUCGGGUAAGUUCCGACCUGCACGAAUGGCGUAACGAUGGCGGCGCUGUCUCCACCCGAGACUCAGUGAAAUUGAAAUCGCUGUGAAGAUGCAGUGUAUCCGCGGCUAGACGGAAAGACCCCGUGAACCUUUACUAUAGCUUUGCACUGGACUUUGAAUUUGCUUGUGUAGGAUAGGUGGGAGGCUUUGAAGCGUGGACGCCAGUGUGCGUGGAGCCAACCUUGAAAUACCACCCUGGCAACUUUGAGGUUCUAACUCAGGUCCGUUAUCCGGAUCGAGGACAGUGUAUGGUGGGUAGUUUGACUGGGGCGGUCUCCUCCUAAAGAGUAACGGAGGAGUACGAAGGUGCGCUCAGACCGGUCGGAAAUCGGUCGUAGAGUAUAAAGGCAAAAGCGCGCUUGACUGCGAGACAGACACGUCGAGCAGGUACGAAAGUAGGUCUUAGUGAUCCGGUGGUUCUGUAUGGAAGGGCCAUCGCUCAACGGAUAAAAGGUACUCCGGGGAUAACAGGCUGAUACCGCCCAAGAGUUCAUAUCGACGGCGGUGUUUGGCACCUCGAUGUCGGCUCAUCACAUCCUGGGGCUGAAGCCGGUCCCAAGGGUAUGGCUGUUCGCCAUUUAAAGUGGUACGCGAGCUGGGUUUAGAACGUCGUGAGACAGUUCGGUCCCUAUCUGCCGUGGACGUUUGAGAUUUGAGAGGGGCUGCUCCUAGUACGAGAGGACCGGAGUGGACGAACCUCUGGUGUUCCGGUUGUCACGCCAGUGGCAUUGCCGGGUAGCUAUGUUCGGAAAAGAUAACCGCUGAAAGCAUCUAAGCGGGAAACUUGCCUCAAGAUGAGAUCUCACUGGAACCUUGAGUUCCCUGAAGGGCCGUCGAAGACUACGACGUUGAUAGGUUGGGUGUGUAAGCGCUGUGAGGCGUUGAGCUAACCAAUACUAAUUGCCCGUGAGGCUUGACCAU